UGGGGAAUAUUGGACAAUGGACCAAGAGUCUGAUCCAGCAAUUCUGUGUGCACGAUGAAGUUUUUCGGAAUGUAAAGUGCUUUCAGUUGGGAAGAAAGAAAUGACGGUACCAACAGAAGAAGUGACGGCUAAAUACGUGCCAGCAGCCGCGGUAAUACGUAUGUCACGAGCGUUAUCCGGAUUUAUUGGGCGUAAAGCGCGUCUAGGUGGUUAUGUAAGUCUGAUGUGAAAAUGCAGGGCUCAACUCUGUAUUGCGUUGGAAACUGUAUAACUAGAGUACUGGAGAGGUAAGCGGAACUACAAGUGUAGAGGUGAAAUUCGUAGAUAUUUGUAGGAAUGCCGAUGGGGAAGCCAGCUUACUGGACAGAUACUGACGCUGAAGCGCGAAAGCGUGGGUAGCAAACAGGAUUAGAUACCCUGGUAGUCCACGCCGUAACGAUGAUUACUAGGUGUUGGGGGUCGAACCUCAGCGCCCAAGCAAACGCGAUAAGUAAUCCGCCUGGGGAGUACGUACGCAAGUAUG
rnacentral:rRNA from 1 species